GGUAGUAGGAAAUACACAAGUGAGAACCUUGAGGACUGAAGUGGAGAAGGUUUCCAUGCGAACAGCAGUUGAACAUGAGUCAGUCGGUCCUUAGUGAAAGGAGAAAUCCUUUUAGAAGCGAAAUACCGCCCCCCUUCCUCCCAAACAAAAACUAAAAACGCCAAACAUUGGCAUAUUGGUAGCCCUCACUUAACUGGAUAAUUUAUGUUACAACAGCACGUCUACCACUGCCAAUUAGUUAAAAACUAUGUAUGAGGAGGCUUUUAUUGGUACGACUUGCCGUAGUUAUAGUUAACCGCAUAAGUAACAGCCUGGGUA
rnacentral:rRNA from 1 species